UCAAAAACAUGUCUUUUUGAGGUUUAAUUUUAAAGUCUAAUCUGCCCACUGAUAUAAUUAUUAAAGGGCUGCAGUAUAUUGACUGUACAAAGGUAGCAUAAUCAUUAGUCUUUUAAUUGAAGACUUGUAUGAAGGAUUUGAUGAAAUAUAAACUGUCUCUGAUUUAUAAAUAGAAAUUAAUUUUUUAAUUAAAAAGUUAAAAUAUUGUUAAAAGACGAGAAGACCCUAUAGAGUUUUAUAAUUUAUUUAUUUAAUUAAUGAAGGUAUAUAUUUAAAUUUAAUAAAUGAUUAAAUUAUUUUGUUGGGGUGAUGAAAAAAUUUAAUAAACUUUUUUUAAUUUAAAACAUGAAUAAGUGAAAAAAUGAUCCAUUAUUAAUGAUUAAAAGAAAAAAUUACCUUAGGGAUAACAGCGUAAUAUUUUUUUUUAGUACGAAUAAAAAAGAAAGUUUGCGACCUCGAUGUUGGAUUAAGAUAAAAUUUAAAUGCAAAAGUUUAAAAUUUUUGAUCUGUUCGAUCAUUAAAAUCUUACAUGAUCUGAGCU
rnacentral:rRNA from 1 species